AUUGAACGCUGGCGGCAUGCUUUACACAUGCAAGUCGAACGGUAACAGGCCGCAAGGUGCUGACGAGUGGCGAACGGGUGAGUAAUGCAUCGGAACGUGCCCAGUCGUGGGGGAUAACGCAGCGAAAGCUGUGCUAAUACCGCAUACGAUCUAUGGAUGAAAGCGGGGGACCGUAAGGCCUCGCGCGAUCGGAGCGGCCGAUGGCAGAUUAGGUAGUUGGUGGGGUAAAGGCCCACCAAGCCAACGAUCUGUAGCUGGUCUGAGAGGACGACCAGCCACACUGGGACUGAGACACGGCCCAGACCCCUACGGGAGGCAGCAGUGGGGAAUUUUGGACAAUGGGCGCAAGCCUGAUCCAGCAAUGCCGCGUGCAGGAAGAAGGCCUUCGGGUUGUAAACUGCUUUUGUACGGAACGAAACGGUCUGGGUUAAUACCUCGGGCUAAUGACGGUACCGUAAGAAUAAGCACCGGCUAACUACGUGCCAGCAGCCGCCGUAAAAC
rnacentral:rRNA from 1 species